AAAAUCCGUCGACUUUAGAAAUCGUGAGGGUGCGAGUCCCUCUAUCCCCA
rnacentral:tRNA from 1 species